GAAGAAUACUAGAUUUGAAGAAAAAUGCCAAGCAUUAAACAAAAUGCAGGCAUUAAUUGUCAGAUUUGGGUUUGGGUUUAAUUAUUUCUAGAAUUCCCACAUUGCCAUUCUUAAUGAUGUUAACUUCCCACUGGCACUGUUUCCACCUCCUCGGUUUGCGAAAGUGACAAAGACCUGGAAUUUUCACAUUACAAAAUGCAGAUAAGCUCUUGUUUUCUAUCUACUAUUUGUGGCACAAUGUGCCCAUUGUCCCUCUGAACUUCCCUCGAUGACUUCAGAAGGAACACAAUCAGCCUGGAACUGGAACUUCAGAGUUAAGAAGCUUGCUGCUUUGUUCAUUAUUCACUCCAACAAAAUCUAAAAAAAUCCAGUGGGAUGCUGAAUGCAAAUCAGUGCAAAACUUGAUCCUUUGGGCACUAAAAACCUUGAGAAAACAGGAUGAUUUCUGCUUCACUCACUUCAAAAGAAAAAAAUGUCUUAUCAUCCCAGGCUGAGGCUUCAGGAAUGGAAGUGAAAUGAACUACUGGGAACGCAGAAAUUACAUUGAGACUGAUUCAAAAGUGGAGUGGAUUUCUGUGGGUAAGCGUGAAGAAUGGAACAAAAGUGGAAAAGCUGGAAAAGAAGAUAGGAGUAACUACCAUGAAUCAGCAUCCUCUCAAGAAGCAGAGAUCACAUGUCAAUAAAUACCUCUGUCUUAUCAUCCCAGGCUGAGGCUUCAGGAAUGGAAGUGAAAUGAACUACUGGGAAUGCAGAAAUUACGAUGAGACUGAUUCAAAAGUGGAGAGGAUUUCUGUGGGUAAGCAUGAAGAACGAAACAAAGCUGGACAAACAAACUGGAUUUCUCUGCAGGAAGAGAGGGAUGUAUGGAGAAAGAAAAAAUAAAAUAAAUAAAUAAAGCCGCA
rnacentral:lncRNA from 1 species